rnacentral:rRNA from 1 species
GAUGAACGCUGGCGGCGUGCCUAAUACAUGCAAGUCGAGCGGACGGACGAGAAGCUUGCUUCUCUGAUGUUAGCGGCGGACGGGUGAGUAACACGUGGAUAACCUACCUAUAAGACUGGGGUAACUUCGGGAAACCGGAGAUAACACCCGUUAAUAUUUUGAACGGCAUGGUUCAAAAGUGAAAGACGGUUUUGCUGUCACUAGUACAUAGUACCGCGCUGCAUUAGCUAGUUGGUAAGGUAACGGCUUACCAAGGCAACGAUGCAUAGCCGAUCUGAGAGGGUGAUCAGCCACACUGGAACUGAGACACGGUCCAGACUCCUACGGGAGGCAGCAGUAGGGAAUCUUGCGCAAUGGGCGAAAGCCUGACGGAGCAACGCCGCGUGAGUGAUGAAGGUCUUCGGAUCGUAAAACUCUGUUAUUAGGGAAGAAGAGAUGUGUGAGUAACUGUGCACAUCUUGACGGUACCUAAUCAGAAAGCCACGGCUAACUACGUG